UGUAUAAUUCAACAUUAUUAUCAUAAUGUUCAACAUUUGCAUUAGAACGAAGGUGAUCUUUUUUUGUAUAUCCUGAAAGUGUACUUUCACAGAUAAUGCAGCAAAUGGAGCAAAAGCAAUGGAGCCUGAAAUGCAGCCUGUUAAUGAUUGAAAAUGGCUUGGAGCAAAAUAAUCCGGAUUCUCUUUUUAUUAUCCUUGGAGACUUUAACAGAGCAAAACUUACACUUGAACUUCCAAAAUACAGACAGCAUAUAAAUUGUCCCACAAGGGAGAAAAAUAAACUGGAUCAUUGCUACACAAUUCUUAAGGACGCAUAUAGCUCUUUACCCAGGGCAGCCUUGGGGAGCUUUGAUCACUGCUUGGUUCAUCUUAUUCCAACAUUCAUGCAGAAACUAAAAUCUAGUGAAGAGAUAGACCAGUGAGGCAAAUCAGGAACUACAAGAUUGUUUUGACUGCACUGACUGGAGUAUCUUUGAGGCUGGAACUGACAGCCUGGAUGAACUGACUGACACUGUGACAUCGUACAUCAGUUUUUGCAAAGACAUGAGUGUGCCAACCAAAACCUUCUGCAAAUACAGUAACAACAAGCCAUGGUUCACAGCCAAACUGAAAAAACUUUGACAUGCCAAGGAAGAUGCCUACAGAGGGGAGGACAAAACUCUGUAUAAGCUGGCCAGGAACCUACUGACAAAGGAAAAGCUGAAAAGCAGGUUUUCAGAUAACAACCCUGCAUCAGUGUGGAAAGGCCUGCAAGACAUCACAAACUACAAGAGUCACCAGCACCCCCCACUGAAGCAAAAAAAGACCUGGCUGAUGACCUCAACACCUUCCACUGCAGAUACUUCCACAUCUCCACAGGAAUGCCAUCUGGACCAACAGCCUUUCCACUUUUGAUCCACCUCAGAGCCUUCCUCACCUCAUCUUUUCUAAUCUUUCCUAUUUUCUGCUCUACAAUAUUCACCUCUCCCUCCUCUCCUUCUAGAUUUCUUUCCUUAAUACCAAGCCUGCCCAUCAACUCCUCAUCGCCUCUUUUUACCCUCGCCAACAUGCCCAUUAAACUACUUAAAUCACGACUCUCUCCCAUCUCCAACUCUCUAUAACCUCAUCUAAUUCAUUUCAGAAUCAGCCUACAUGUGGAGCAUAACCACUGACGACAUUCAGCAUUACCCCUUCAAUUUCUAACUUCAAACUGACUACCCUGUCUGACACUUCACCUCUAAAACAUUCCUCACAAACUCAACCUUCAAGAUUACCCCUAGCCCAUUUUUUUUCCUAUCCACACCAUAAUAAAACAGUUUGGAUACCCCUCCAAUACUAUGUAUUUUGCUCCCCUUCCACCUGUUCUCAAACACACAGCAUAUCUAUCUUUCUUCUCUCCAUCAUGACUGCCAGCUCUCUACCUUUCCCUGUCAUUGUGCCAAGGUUAAGUAUCCAUAUUCUCAGACCUAUACACCUGCCUUUCCUUUUCCCUUUUUAUCUAUGAAGCCUCCUUUCUCUCCUUCCUCAACCAACAGUAGUCCAAUUUCCACCAGCAGCCUGUAGGUCAUCUCUUUUCAUUUCCUCUAGUUGUGGGAACUCUGCAACAGCACAUAGAAAAACUCAGCUGGACACCUUGCCAGUUCAGUAUACAAAGGACCUAACUCAUUCUAAACAGGACCAAAUGGCUCUGGAAAUGCUGGAAGAGAAAACAUUUUCUGGUCUGGUGGAUGAAGUAAAAUGGUAUGCAACUCCCCUUAUCCAUCAUAAAGAUGCUGUAUAUCUCCAGUCUCCCUGGGGUAUAUACCUAGAUUCAGUGGAUUGGUUAGCCUCAUCAACAGUGAUUUUGAUAUGAAAAAUUAAAUCCACUCUGACCUUUCCAUUGUGAUGUUAAAUAUGAUGAGGUAUAUGCAUAUUGAGCAGGUUGUUAUUCAGACAUGCUUACUGAUAUGAACAAUUAAAACCACUCUGGCCUUUCCAUACCGCAUCAUAUUUAACAUCACAAUUCAAAGGCCAGAGUGGUUUUAAUUGUUCAUAUCAAUAUCAGCAUGCAUGUCUGAAUAAUAACUUGCUGCCAAGACCAACUCAGAGAAAAUGCUAUUAUUGGAGACAUCAAAGUUAUGUUUCCUCAGGUGAGACUUCUCCCUGAAGAUCAACCACUGUGUUGUUUCUUGUAGAGAAACAUGAAAAGAGAGCGUAGCCCAGACAUCUACAAAUGGAGAGUUUUGCCAUUUGGAAAAACUUGCAGCAUUAUAUCAGAGAAUAUUUAACUGGCAAUGAGGAUGUGAUAGAGGCUGUACAACAUUGUUUCUAUGUAGAUCAUCGUGUACAGUCAUUCCAUACUUUAAAUCAGACAAAAUAAUUCAUCAAUAAGCUUAGGGCUUUCCUUGUUGCUGGAGGGUUUGAGAUAUGGCAGUGGGUGAGCAACAUUCCUGAUGUUAUAGCUCACCUUCCCACUUAAGAAAGAUCACUUGGGUUAAAGUGGCAUUCUUGGUUACAAAUAUCAAGCCCUAUCAGAUAUGAAGCCCACCACAAGGAAUGUGUACAAAAUCCUGGCAAGCCAUGACCCUCUUGGGCUCCUCAUCCCAUAUACUACUUGAGCUAAAGUUCUUUUUUUUUUUUUUUGCAAAGUCUUUUUAUUGCAAACAAAGUCGAAUAACAAUACAGAAUCCCAUUUUAGUUUUACAUGAAAAAGGAGUAAAGUAAAAGUAUUACAACAAUAACAAUAAUAACAAUAAUGGAAAGAAAGUAAAAAGAAAAAGAAGAGAACAAACCACCCCCACCCGCCCACCUCGGGUCCUGGCCCUUUUUAAUUAUCGAAUACAAGUCAUUUAAAAUUUACAAAAGAAAAAGAAAACCAAAUCUGGCAAAACCUGAAGUCCUAUGAAAUAUGAAAUAAACGGUUGCCAUUUAUGAAAAAACUUGGAGGUAUUACCUCUUAUAGUAUAUUUUAUUUCUCAAGCUUAAUAAAAAACGCUGUAUCCUUUAGCCAUUGUGAGUGAGAUGGUGGGACAGAGGACUUCCACUGAAAAAGAAGGCGACGUCUGGCCAACAAUGAUGUAAAACUAAUAACUUCUUUUUGCAUACAGUUUAACUGAGAUGCUUCAUCUGGAAGUCCAAAUAUAGCAAUCAAUGGGCAGGGUUGCAAAUGUACUCCCAGAAUAGUGGACAUCGUACUGAAAUAACCUGACCAAUAAUUAUAUAGUCGUGGACAGAAAAAAAACAUGUGACUCAGUUGACAUUGUGAGUUAGAGCAUCUGUCACAUUUGUCCUCGACAUCUGGGUAAAUUUGAGACAAUCUAUAUUUAGAAAAAUGCACCCUAUAAAUGACCUUAAACUGGAUACGUGCGAGACGAGCACAUGCGACAUUACCAAAGCCUGUCCCCAAGCUGAAGGCCCAGUUCUCCCUCCCAAGCAGCCUUUGUUUUGGAGGUAGUUUGGUCACAGAAAUCCAUAAUAAGUUUAUAGAUCUCAGAAACAGCACCUUUUUGUUGUGAUUUAUACGUAAACAAACCUUCCCAGUGUUGAAGAGGUGGUGCUGAGGGAAAGCCAGGAAAACACUUUUGAACAAAAUGCCUAACUUGAAAAUAUCUAAAGAGGUGGCUGGCAGGUAGCCCAUACAAUGAAGACAAAUUAGCAAAACUGUUAAAAAAUCCCUCUGAGUAUAAGUCAAGAAAACAGUGUAUACCUUUGCUAUACCACACUGAGAAAAAAGAAUCCAGACACGAAGGGGGAAAAGAUGAUUGCUACAUAACGAACCUAAAGGAGAAUCAGUUACAAACUUGAAACGUUUCCUAAAUUGAUACCAGAUUUUUAGAGUAUUAAACACAACAGAAUUUUUAACAUACAAAGAAGUUUUAAUUGGAAGAGAAGAGUAUAUAAGAGAAGGUAUAGAGGAUGAGGAAGAACAUGACUGGGCUUCUAACUUACACCAUGCUAAAUGAGGUGACUCAACACAGCACCGUAUCUUAUGGAUGUGUGCUGCCCAGUAAUAAAACAGAAAAUUUGGUAGUGCCAGACCACCGCUAGACUUACAUCUCUGGAGUAAUGACUUACGCAAUCUGGGACAUCCCCCAGACCAAAUAAAAGCAUUAAUUGUUUUAUCUAAUGAGUCAAAGAAAUGUUUAGGUAAGAACAAUGGUAUUGAACAUUCAUUUUUAUUGCAUUAAUCUUCCCAAUCAGAGACAAAGGCAGACUAUUCCAUCUCUGAAGGUCAGACUUCAUUUUAGUUACGAUUGGAGUAAAGUUUGCAGAAAAAAGACCUGAGAAUUUACAUGUCACAUUAAUACCAAGGUAUCUAAAUCCAGCGGGACUGAUUUUGAAGGGCAUGUCCAGAUGCUUAAGUUGCAAAGCAGUUGUGUUAAUUGGAUAAUAUUCACUCUUCUGAAAUUUUAAUUUAUAUCCAGAAAAGGAGCUGAAUGUAUCAAGAGUGGACAAGAUACCAGGCAGACCAGAUACAGGGUCAGAUACAUGGAGCAACAAAUCAUCUGCAUACAAUGAUAGUCUGUGUUCGAUGCCGUUCCUAGUGGCGCCUUUAAAUAAAGUAGAAGAUUGUAAUGAAAUGGCCAAUGGUUCAAUGGCCAAGGCAAAUAAAGAUGGAGAGAGAGGGCAGCCCUCAUGUGUCCCACGUUUCAACGGAAAAUACUCUGAGCGCACAUUGUUUGAAUGCUGGCUUGAGGUGAUGUAUAAAGUAAUUUCACCCAACUAAAAAAUAAACGUCCCUUAAUAAAACCGUUUUGCUCCUCAGAAAUAAUGCUGGGCAACACUCUCUCUAGGCGCAGAGCUAUAGUUUUUGCCAGAACUUUUACAUCAGCAUUUAACAAAGAUAGAGGCCUAUAGGAACCACAUAAAGUUGGAUCUUUGUCACUCUUCAAAAGGAGAGAUAUGGAAGCUUGGGUCAUAGUAGUUGGGAGCAAACAAUUUCCAAGGAUUCAUUAAACACUGACAAAAGUAGAGGUGCUAAUUUAUUAACAUUAUUAAUAAAUAUUAAUAUUUCUUGAAGAACUCAACAGGAUACCCAUCAGGCCCCGGGGCUUUAUUGGACUGCAUCGCUUUAAUAGAGAAUUUUAUUUCUUCAAGGGAGAGUGGGGAGAGUUCUUGUACAUGGUCAGAAUCAAUGGAAGGGUUUUCAAGGUUGUCCAAAAACUGAUUCAUAAUAGCAGUUUCAGCCGGAAAUUCAGAUUUAUACAAAGAGGUAUAAAACGAUUUGAACGUGGCAUUAAUUUCUACUGGGUCUGUAACAAUUACAUUAAUAUGAUUAUUAAUUUUAGGUAUCAAACGUGAGGCAGAUUGACGUUUCAAUUGGUGAGCCAAUAGUCGAUUCGCUUUAUCCCCAUGUUCAUAGUAAGUGUCUUAAAUUGUCUGCAAUAACAAUCGCUCUACUUCCCUAGUGGAGAUAAGAUCAAAUUCUGUCUUAAGGUUAAGACGUUUCUUAAACAGUUCUGGGGAGGAAUUGGAUGCGCACUCUUGGUCAGUACACAAUUCAAAUCACCUACAAAAAUCAACAAAUGAGAAUUUAAAUGAGGUAUAUUACUAAGUAAUCUGUUGGAGAAUUCAACAUCAUCAAAGUUAGGUGCAUAGACAUUUACCAGCAGCACCUUUGUUUGCAUUAACUUAUCAACUUAUGGUUGAUAAGAUAUCUGCCAUUUUUAUCAGCAAUAACAUCAGUAGGUAGAAACUGAAUAUUUUUAUUGAUCAAAAUAGCAACAACUCUUGAUUUAGAGUUAAAGUUAGAAUGAAAGACAUGCCGUAUCCAAGAAGCCUGCAGCCUAUAAUGAUCUUUAGAUUUGAGAUGAGUUUCUUGCAAAAACACUAUGUCGGAAUUAAGCCGUUUCAAAGGGCUAAAAACUUUACCGCGUUUAGAUGGGCUACUGUCGGAACUUAGAGCCCGCCUCCAAGUGGACAUAUCGCAGGGUGAUUUGUACUUAUAGACUUGUAGCCAAAUAUCAAUUAUUUUAAUUAAACUUCACUGAUAGCACUAACAUUAAUACAAAUAAAACAAUGAGAAGACCCUUCAGACCUGGAUGAGAAUGAGCAAACUUCUUUAUUGCAGCCAAUCAGCCAACAAUUCCAUUGAGCUGAAGGAAAAAUUUCUAAGUUAAAAUUAACAAAUAAAAACCCAAAAGAGCAUUCCCCUGCAACCCAAAAAAGAACACCCCUUCCACAAGAAAAUCCCCUCAAUAUAUACUCUGGUGCCUCUACAGUAGGUGCCUCCUCUUUUAAUUUACAUACCUUGCAUACAAUUACCCAUUCUUUCUCAAAGUUGCCCUCAAAGCCCCGCCUAAUCAUUUACCUGACUUCUCAGAAUUCCCCUUAUUUUCCAGAAUUACCUCAUACGCCUCCUAACUGACUAAUGUCCUGUUUUUCUGAUUCCUUAUUUCCCAGACUCAAGGUCUGCCCUUGGAUUUUUCUGUAUAUAUCCUUGUUAUUCUGUCCUUGUUAAUUUCCUAGUAUUUCCAACCUCCUUCAUCGUUGUUAUUAAAAAAUGUGCUCGAGAGAGCUUUAUUUCCUUGUUUGUAUCACAUUUGUCGCUCAGUCUUCCAUGACAGACGUCUUGUGGAUUUAUCCUCCUUUCAGCUACAAUGACUCUGUUCUCCUGAACUUCCUGAGCAUCCUUAUCUGCUGUCCCAUAUUGUGAGGAAACCUCCCGCUCGAACUUCCUCCUCUCAAACCCCCUCUGGCUGACCUCGCGGACCAGAGAACUCAGACUGAUGGCUGUCCUCAUGCUGAACCUUGCUGCCCUAAGCUUGGAACUCCUGUGUCUCCUCCUUGUCCCUCAUCACCUCAUCUCGCCUACACCCGCCCUCUCUCUCCUGCUUUGGCUUCCUCUGACUCUGAACCUGGAUCUCCAGUCUACAUUCCCUCUUCUCCCUCUCUUAGGCCUGAUUCUCCAGAUUACACUCCUACUUCUCCUAGGCCUGAUAGUA